UAAUUUAGUUUAUUUUAUAUUAAACAGACAUAGUAACUCUUAACAUUUUAUUUCUCUGAAAAAACAAAUUUACUUUAUAUCAAACCAUACUUUAGUUACAGUGUAUGACCGGCAAUCGUAGUUUAUCUAAUUUGCAUCGAACAAUUACAUUAACUUAUAUGAAUUUUAAUGCACCUAACAAUAAAGAAUAGAUGGUUUAAUCUGUGUGUUGUUUGUCCUGUAUAAAAAUAGAACUAAGGAUGCCUUUAAUUAUGACCCAUGUGAGGCUAGCUAUAGAAAAUAAAUAGUACUAUUAAUUUGAUAACUUAUGAGCCAUGCUCCUAGCUUUGCUUUGAGAGUUGUAUGUUGAACUAUUUGGGGACAAGUGUAUCAAAGAAUGAAAAAGAACAACUUAGAACAAAAGUAAAGAAGAGUUGUAAUAAGUGGUAUGAUACUCAA